AGAGAGCUUCAGUAGCAACUCCAUCUGGUUGUUUUAUUCCUUUUGUUUUAUGGUGACGUAGACCUAUCACACGACUUCAGACAGACGUCUAUGACCAAAUACCGUUCCUAGUACGGGGAGAGAUUAGGGUGUAGAGAUCUUCAGAGAUAGUAGAGUCGUAGAGAUCUUCAGAGAUAUGUAGAGAUCUUCAGAGAGAUGUAGAGAUCUUCAGAGAGAUGUAGAGAUCUUCAGAGAGAUGUAGAGAUCUUCAGAGAGAUGUAGAGAUCUUCAGAGAGAUGUAGAGAUCUUCAGAGAGAUGCAGAGAUCUUCAGAGAUCUUCAGACUCACCUCACAAGAACCUCCACCGACAGGUUGUCCAACGACCUUUAUUUUCCACAAAGACUGACCUUUAUCUCUGGCUAGAACCACUUCCUGGUCUUAACUUAUUGUUUUCACAACGUCUUAUUCCCAUCUUCUUUUUUAUUUUUUAUCGUAGUUUUUAUUGUUUGUAACGAGAAACGUUUUUUUAUUUCAUGGAUUUCCCUAAUUUCAGUAUGACAGUUAAACGGUUUAAAUCUGAGCAUGAGACUCACAUCGGGGGGGGGGGGGUGACGGUGUGUUCAGGGACACUGAUAUGGAGAUAUCACCAAGUCAGCUGUCACCAUAUAAGACAUCCGAACUAUCCCUUAAAUACCCCCCCCCCCCCACCCCGAGCCUCUUGUGUUGUUCUGUUCUUAUUAUUUCCAGAAGAUUCCUAGAUUUCUGAUAUUUCGGUGUUGAUGAAAUUGGACGUUCAUAAUGUUUGUGUUUGCGGUAGAAGAGACGUAGAGACGUUAUGCAGGUCAUAAGUUAUAUAUCCGGCACCAAGUAUUAUGGGAUGUACAUUUAAAGCCGUGUGUGUGUGUGUGUGUGUGUGUGUGUGUGUGUGUGUGUGUGAUUUUAAAACAAAAGUGUUGAAAUAUAAUAUAAAUGUUAUUGAUGGAACUCAGUUCUGCGAAUGUAACGUUGUUAUUCUGCACUCAUACAGCAAAGCCAAGUUUAUUAUUAUGUUUAAUUAUUUAAUUACACCUAGACAUCAAGUGUGUUAAUUACAGUAUUUGAUGGAUGUUUUGUUCGAGAGUUUACUGUAAAAUAAAUAAACAAUAAAGAUGAUUAAAAACCA